rnacentral:rRNA from 1 species
CGGGUGAGUAACGCGUAUCCAACCUUCCGUACACUCAGGGAUAGCCUUUCGAAAGAAAGAUUAAUACCUGAUGGUAUGAUGAGAUUGCAUGAUAGCAUCAUUAAAGAUUCAUCGGUGUACGAUGGGGAUGCGUUCCAUUAGGUAGUAGGCGGGGUAACGGCCCACCUAGCCUACGAUGGAUAGGGGUUCUGAGAGGAAGGUCCCCCACAUUGGAACUGAGACACGGUCCAAACUCCUACGGGAGGCAGCAGUGAGGAAUAUUGGUCAAUGGACGAGAGUCUGAACCAGCCAAGUAGCGUGAAGGAUGAAGGUCCUACGGAUUGUAAACUUCUUUUAUAAGGGAAUAAAACCUCCCACGUGUGGGAGCUUGUAUGUACCUUAUGAAUAAGCAUCGGCUAACUCCGUGCCAGCAGCCGCGGUAAUACGGAGGAUGCGAGCGUUAUCCGGAUUUAUUGAGUUUAAAGGGAGCGCAGACGGGUCGUUAAGUCAGCUGUGAAAGUUUGGGGCUCAACCUUAAAAUUGCAGUUGAUACUGGCGUCCUUGAGUGCGGUUGAGGUGUGCGGAAUUCGUGGUGUAGCGGUGAAAUGCUUAGAUAUCACGAAGAACUCCGAUUGCGAAGGCAGCACACUAAGCCGUAACUGACGUUCAUGCUCGAAAGUGUGGGUAUCAA